GUGCCCACUUUGGCGGCACACGCACUAAAACUGGAACAACACAGAGCAGGUGGCCAUGGCCCCUGCACAAGGAUGACACACAAAUUUGGGGGAGGUCGAGAAAAACCUGU